UUAGUUAAAGCCAAAAAGAGGUAUACCACUGUUAAUGGUUGAAAUGAAGAAACCUUCUAACUAAA
rnacentral:tRNA from 1 species